UGUAAACAUGACGUUCCCGUGUGUGGAACAUCUGGUGUUUAAUGAAUCAAA
ensembl:ncRNA D2023.11 ncRNA